UACGUAGGGGGCAAGCGUUGUCCGGAAUUACUGGGCGUAAAGGGCUCGUAGGCGGCCAACUAAGUCAGACGUGAAAUCCCUCGGCUUAACCGGGGAACUGCGUCUGAUACUGGAUGGCUUGAGGGUAGGAGAGGGAUGCGGAAUUCCAGGUGUAGCGGUGAAAUGCGUAGAUAUCUGGAGGAACACCGGUGGCGAAGGCGGCACGCUGGGAUGCUACUGACGCUGAGGAGCGAAAGCCAGGGGAGCAAACGGG
rnacentral:rRNA from 1 species